rnacentral:rRNA from 1 species
GACGAACUGUGCAAACGGUUAAUCGGAAUUACUGGGCGUAAAGCGUGCGCAGGCGGUUGUGCAAGACAGAUGUGAAAUCCCCGGGCUACAACCGUGGGAAUUGACAUUUGUGACUGCACGGCUAGAGUGUGUCAGAGGGGGGUAGAAUUCCACGUGUAGGCAGUGAAAUGCGUAGAGAUGUGGAGGAAUACCGAUGGCGAAGGCAGCCCCCUGGGAUAACACUGACGGCUCAUGCACGAAAGCGUGGGGAGCAAACAGG